UACGAAGGGGCUAGCGUUGUUCGGAAUUACUGGGCGUAAAGCGCACGUAGGCGGACUUUUAAGUCAGGUGUGAAAUCCCGGGGCUCAACCUCGGAACUGCAUUUGAAACUGGAAGUCUAGAGACCAGGAGAGGUUAGCGGAAUACCGAGUGUAGAGGUGAAAUUCGUAGAUAUUCGGUGGAACACCAGUGGCGAAGGCGGCUAACUGGACUGGUACUGACGCUGAGGUGCGAAAGUGUGGGGAGCAAACAGG
rnacentral:rRNA from 1 species